GCAGCGAAAUGCGAUACGUAGUGUGAAUUGCAGAAUUCCGCGAAUCAUCGAGUCUUUGAACGCAAGUUGCGCCCGAGGCUUGCCCUCGGGCAUUUCUGUCAGAGCGUCAC
rnacentral:rRNA from 2 species